rnacentral:lncRNA from 1 species
CCAACUCAACCCCUAGAAGAGUGCAACACACAGCUAGCAGAAUAUGAUAUACUCAAAACAAGUAAAAAUUAAGGGAAUCAGGGAAAAGGGAAGAAAAUAAGACUGAACUACAAGUGAAUAGUUUGCUGCUAUGCUUUGAAAAUGUUGUUUCCAUUUCAUCUCGCAAUUCGAGUCUCAUAUCAACAGGGAUUCAAAGACAUGUACCUGAAUAUAACAAGACAGAACCAGAAGCUCAGUUUGUGAUCAAGAAUAGACGAAUAGCAGCAGUAAACUAGCAGUGAAACGCAAUCAGCAGAAAUUGGACCCAACCCAGCAAUGGAAUAGUAAAUCAACCAGCAGAAACUCAAACCAAAACAUUCAGUCCAUUUUCAACCCAGAAUAUAAAACUGUGAAAUGUUAGUGGUUUUGAGCUAGAAUAUGAGGAUCAGAGGGACAGAACCAAGUAGAAUUUUCAACAAUUUUUCCAAAGAACUUAAGCGAAUUUCAGAUUAUUUUAGAAGUUUCGAAGAGAAACAGCCAUUUUAGUUUUCGAAGAGAUGCCUUUAUAGGCAAGCAAAUAGGGAAAACCCAAGGAGAUACGUUUUUGCCAUUCAGUGCCUUUUUAGUUUCCAAUUUAGUUUAAACACCCCUAGUUUAAAUUCAGUUUUUGCAAAGUAGUCCCCUCCCCAGCUUCCUAGAAGCUUCCCAAACAGUUGCAAAUAGAUUUACUCACUAAGACUACCUAAACUAACCCCCAUACCCCUGUUAUUUACCUUAGCCUACCCAUUGAUUCAAAUUAACCCAUGGUCUAAUUAGCCAGACCCUUUAACCAGGUCAAAGAUGACCAUGGUUAUUCGUUAGGGCAAGAAACACUCAGAAGUGACCAAAUGAACCAAAGGAACUGAUAAAUCAAAAAUUCAAGGGAAACACAAUUACUUUUUUGAUUUUAAGCUUGAAUUAUUUUAAUUACCCAACUCAACAUUGAACUCUUUGAUGUAAAUCAGCAACCAAACAAAGAAGACAAAAAUAAAUGUGAUUAUAACAGCAUUAACAGGAAAUACUAUGGGGUAAAGGAAAAUGAGUAAGAAGAAGGAGAAGGGGGAACAAUCACGGAUAUAAAACACAAAUGAUGAGGAACGGGGAUGAGAUAAGAAAAAUUGAAUAGCAAGGCUAAGGAGACUCACUGACUCAAACCUCGAACUUGACUGAACCUCCGAUCAAAUCUCCAAAUAACGCCAAUCGCUUGUGCUUGGUUAAGAACAAGAAAAUAACGUUAUUUCGGGAUAAAAUCGGUCGUCAAUCUUAUGGGGAAUCCGGGAUAUAACCUUUCAUGCACUGGUCAAGUUUUGGGCUUCUAGGGCUCAACCUCAGAUUCAAUAUUCGACAAGUUCCGGACAGAUUCGAGGGGAGCUGGUCAUAGAUUUGGGAAGAGGGGGUCGAGGAGGCAUUAGGGUGUUGAUUUGGUGGGGAAAGGUGGUGGCGCCGCCAGGUUAGGGCGGUGGAAUUAAGGGCGGCGGGUAGGGUUUCUUGUGAGAGAGAUGAG